UACGAAGGACCCGAGCGUUAUCCGGAUUUAUUGGGGUUAAAGGGCGCGUAGGCGGCUUGCCAAGUCACUUGUGAAAUCUCUGGGCUUAACCCAGAACGGCCAAGUGAAACUGGCAUGCUAGAGUGCAGAAGGGGCAAUCGGAAUUCUUGGUGUAGCGGUGAAAUGCGUAGAUAUCAAGAGGAACACCUGAGGUGAAGACGGGUUGCUGGGCUGACACUGACGCUGAGGCGCGAAAGCCAGGGGAGCAAACGGG
rnacentral:rRNA from 1 species